rnacentral:rRNA from 1 species
AGAGUUUGAUCCUGGCUCAGGAUGAACGCUAGCGACAGGCUUAACACAUGCAAGUCGAGGGGCAGCACAGGUAGCAAUACCGGGUGGCGACCGGCGCACGGGUGAGUAACGCGUAUGCAACUUACCUAUCAGAGGGGGAUAACCCGGCGAAAGUCGGACUAAUACCGCAUGAAGCAGGGGCCCCGCAUGGGGAUAUUUGCUAAAGAUUCAUCGCUGAUAGAUAGGCAUGCGUUCCAUUAGGCAGUUGGCGGGGUAACGGCCCACCAAACCGACGAUGGAUAGGGGUUCUGAGAGGAAGGUCCCCCACAUUGGUACUGAGACACGGACCAAACUCCUACGGGAGGCAGCAGUGAGGAAUAUUGGUCAAUGGCCGAGAGGCUGAACCAGCCAAGUCGCGUGAGGGAUGAAGGUUCUAUGGAUCGUAAACCUCUUUUAUAAGGGAAUAAAGUGCGGGACGUGUCCCGUUUUGUAUGUACCUUAUGAAUAAGGAUCGGCUAACUCCGUGCCAGCAGCCGCGGUAAUACGGAGGAUCCGAGCGUUAUCCGGAUUUAUUGGGUUUAAAGGGAGCGUAGAUGGAUGUUUAAGUCAGUUGUGAAAGUUUGCGGCUCAACCGUAAAAUUGCAGUUGAUACUGGAUAUCUUGAGUGCAGUUGAGGCAGGCGGAAUUCGUGGUGUAGCGGUGAAAUGCUUAGAUAUCACGAAGAACUCCGAUUGCGAAGGCAGCCUGCUAAGCUGCAACUGACAUUGAGGCUCGAAAGUGUGGGUAUCAAACAGGAUUAGAUACCCUGGUAGUCCACACGGUAAACGAUGAAUACUCGCUGUUUGCGAUAUACUGCAAGCGGCCAAGCGAAAGCGUUAAGUAUUCCACCUGGGGAGUACGCCGGCAACGGUGAAACUCAAAGGAAUUGACGGGGGCCCG